AAAGUUGAAGGGCUUCAUUUUAAUGUUGCAAUCACUUGUUUCUAAACUUAACAUUUGAAUAAAUUUUUUCAUAUUAGAUUCUUCUAAUUUCUGGCUAUGAGUUGCAAAAGGUGAUUUAUUUUUUCAUGGAACAAGAUUUUCAGAGAAUUGUGUGGAUUUGUGGAAGAAUGCCAACAUAAAAUGAAGAGUCAUCAAUUUGGCCACAUGCUGAUCGAAUGAGUGUCUUGCAGAGAAAUUAAGAACAAUGAAACUUGAGGAAGAAACUUAAUAUUGAGAAUGGAUACUGGCACACCUAGAGGAAUUUCUACAGAGAAUAUAAGAUUGUCAAACUGAACAUAAGAAACCAUAAAUGACAUGUACAGUAUUGGAAAUAUACCCAAAUUUG
rnacentral:lncRNA from 1 species